rnacentral:rRNA from 1 species
AGUGAACGCUGGCGGUAGGCCUAACACAUGCAAGUCGAACGGCAGCACAGUAAGAGCUUGCUCUUACGGGUGGCGAGUGGCGGACGGGUGAGGAAUACAUCGGAAUCUACUUUUUCGUGGGGGAUAACGUAGGGAAACUUACGCUAAUACCGCAUACGACCUACGGGUGAAAGCAGGGGACCUUCGGACCUUGCGCGAUUGAAUGAGCCGAUGUCGGAUUAGCUAGUUGGCGGGGUAAAGGCCCACCAAGGCGACGAUACGUAGCUGGUCUGAGAGGAUGAUCGGCCACACUGGAACUGAGACACGGUCCAGACUCCUACGGGAGGCAGCAGUGGGGAAUAUUGGACAAUGGGCGCAAGCCUGAUCCAGCCAUACCGCGUGGGUGAAGAAGGCCUUCGGGUUGUAAAGCCCUUUUGUUGGGAAAGAAAAGCAGCAGGUUAAUACCCCGCUGUUCUGACGGUACCCAAAGAAUAAGCACCGGCUAACUUCGUG